CGGGAUGUAGCGCAGCCUGGUAGCGUGCUUCGUUCGGGACGAAGAGGCCGGCGGUUCGAAUCCGCCCAUCCCGA
rnacentral:tRNA from 2 species